rnacentral:lncRNA from 1 species
UGCUUUAAGGAACAACGAGGAAAUGAGUUUUCAACAUUCAUUAUUCAUUCAUUAUAAGGAAACAGUCUCAGUCCUCCUAGCCGACAGAAGUCGGUCGUAUUUUUAAAAAUGGAACUAGCCAGAAAAAACAAAGUUCAAAAUCCGAGUCUCGGUACUGAAUUAGAAUUUUCUAUCUUUGCCCGUAUUUAUAAUUUACCUUAUUGUCUCUGGAAAAUCUUUCAAAUUGGAAUAGUUCCUUUUAAAAUCUUCCUUAAUUCUUUCUAUAUUUCCCCAUUGCACUCAGACUAAGCGUACAUUCGUCGACGAAGUGCCUGGCGUUUCCAAACUUAUAUUAAGCAUUUAUCAUUCUAUAGAUGGAACCGAUUCAAAUAAACCGGGAAACGCCCAUGAUUAGUCAGUACCUGAUUUAUAUCACUGUUAUUUAUGAUAUUCAACUUCUUGUUUAACUUUAUACUUUUCAUUAACUCUUUUUUUUUCUUGUUAGCCGACUCCCAACAAAAAUUCCAUUUCAGCAAAGGUCUUUAUUCUUGAAUCCUGGAUAUCAAAAUUAUCAGUUCCAUCCCCAAGUGCCGCCAUUUCAGCAAGGGUGUCCGCCCUUCCAUUUCCGACAAUUUAACUGUGUGCUUUCACCCAGUAUAAGUUAACAAUGUUUUCAUUCAGCCUUUUUAAACAAGUCUUUUAUUUCAUUAAUGAGUUGAUUUUUAUGAUUGGUUGGGCGAGUGCCUGUAGCAUUUUCCACAUAGCUGCUAUUGCCGAAGAUUGCACGAAGCCGAGUCUCAGAAAUUUUCUAUUUUUUUUUUUUUAAUGAAACCAGAUCGCUCUGUACUUCGGGAGAAUAACGAAAAGCAAACUGCAGAAAUAUUGGAAAAGGAAUACAAGUAUUUUAUUUUUUAAUGUAUGAAAUAAUCGUUAUUUAAUGAUUCAAAUUUGUAUUUUAAAUUGCUAAAGUAUGUUUACUUUUCCUACGUUGAUAUCGUUUACCGAACUUACUACAAAUACGGAUAGAUUGGGAACCAUUCUAAGAACGGAGGCCCCAAAACUACCAAUUUGCACAUGCUAAGUAACGUUUACAUUUUCAUCCGUAAAAAUCCUGCUUAUUGCCAACAGGUCAUGUUUACAUCCACCAGUUCUUUUGCCUACUCGUUCUAAAAUACUGGGAGAUAUAGAAUUCCAUUCAUUUUUCCCAUCCCCUUUGCAUGCUUUUGAAUAAGAUACUUAUGAAGGUAUGAGAUAGACCCCGGGUGUAAUUUCGUCCAUGGUUUAUAAAGAACAGUAUAAUUCAUGCAGAAUGGAUCGUAGCACGUUUUCGUACUUAUUUUCACAGCUGGCAAACAAUUUCUAUUUAAAUACUAGAAUAUCAAAUAACAGCAUCACUUUAUCUAUAAUUAUGAUUACAGUUCUCGUAACUAUGUGAAGCGGCCACUCAGCAUCUUAAGUAAUAAUUUGUAAAUAAUUCAUGUUUCUAUUGUUUCCUGCAUAAUUUAAGACAUAUUUUUUAUGUUUGUUCCUCAGAUACAUUUGUAUCAAGAACUGAAAUUAUAAUGAAAUAUGUAAGCACAUGAUUUGUUUCUUUAUCUUUGCCUUUACUUGUGAUGAAACUGCAGAGAGGUAAUGUUUUAUAUGCAUUUAUUAUGCAUUACUUGGAGGGGGGAUAAAAUAUUUUAUUUCUUAACUACUGUUGGCAAGCAGAUUUGAGCCCUUGAUACUGAAUGUUCCAGGCCGCAGAACAUGUUGGAAGCUUGAAUGAGUUGGCAAACCUAACUGUAAAAUGCUAAAUAUGUGUAGUUAAGCAUUAUCUGCAUCCAAACUUGAAUAUGACUCCUGCAUUUGUUGAAAUGGAGCUGGACUACAUGUGAUUUAGAGAGAAAAAAACUCUUGAUUAUUAAGUAUUGUUUGACUUGUGAAAUAAACAUUUUGGUGUUUUUA